rnacentral:lncRNA from 1 species
AUUGCCCUCCUUAAUCUAAACAGGGGAAAUCUGCACACUCCACACACUCCUCACCACAGCAGACUCCACACGUAAUUCAUUAGGGAUUGACAUGACUCUGAUAACUUUCACCCAUGCAAUCACAGUUUCCUGCAUGGUGUGGUUCCUACGAUUACCAGGACAUCAGUGCCUGGGUCACACACUGGUCAAGUGCACCUAUCUUCAUGUGAGGGCUGUAACUUGUUCCACAAUCUCUGCCAUGAAGCUGAAAACCUUUAAACACAAGAGUAUGUCACAGUUUUAUACUGUAAAAAUAUAGUGAAUUCCACUAAAUUUCAGGUACAACUGCUUGCACAGUUGAAAAAGACCAAUUGGGCAAAGAAAAAGAAAGUUACAAGAGCAAAAAGGACCUUUUUGAAAUAAUACAAAGAAAGCUUUUAUUGUUCCCCAGGAAGGGGGAUGGAGAGACCCCAGGAUUGUGGUGCUUAAUGGGAGAGUCCAUCCUGGGAAGGUGGUUGGGUCCUAGGAGAAACCUUAGGCAGCCAUUUGACAUCAGGACCAGGUAACUAAUUCCAAUUAUCUUUCCAUGAGCUUUGAUAUAGAAGAAGUGGAAAAGAUCUGGACAUGUUCCUAGGGUAAAUGUCAUAGAAGUUGAAAUACCAUGUACCAAACCCAGAGCAGACAGCUCACAUGCAAAACCCAGUGUCCUAGAGAAGGUCCCCUGUCAUGCAGCCUGUUCUAACCUUUGGGCUCAACACUCUGGGCACACAAUUCACCAGGAUAUUCACAUAAUGUCCUCCAGUAUAAAAGUCUUCUCUGAAGAUAAUUACUGAGUGUGGGUGUCAGGAGCCCAGGGUAUAAAUAUGUUUGGGGAUAAAAUC